rnacentral:rRNA from 1 species
AGUGAACGUUGGCGGCGUGGAUUAGGCAUGCAAGUCGAGCGAGAACCGUAGCAAUACGGGGACAGCGGCGAAAGGGACAGUAAUGUGUAUGUACCUACCUCCGGGUUCGGGAUAGCUGCGGGAAACUGCAGGUAAUACCGAAUAACGUCUCCGGACCUAAGGUGUGAUUCCACCGGGAGAAGGGCCUGCAUCCUAUUAGCUUGUUGGCGGGGUAACGGCCCACCAAGGCGACGAUGGGUAGCGGGUGUGAGAGCACGACCCGCGUCAUUGGGACUGAGACACUGCCCAGGCACCUACGGGUGGCUGCAGUCGAGGAUCUUCGGCAAUGGGCGCAAGCCUGACCGAGCGACGCCGCGUGCGGGAUGAAGGCCUUCGGGUUGUAAACCGCUGUCGUAGAGGAGGAAGUGCAGGGGGGUUCUCCCCUCUGUUUGACCUAUUCUAGGAGGAAGGACGGGCUAAGUCCGUGCCAGCCGCCGCAGUAA